CCUACGGGAGGCAGCAGUGGGGAAUAUUGGACAAUGGGGGGAACCCUGAUCCAGCGACGCCGCGUGAGUGAAGAAGUAUUUCGGUAUGUAAAGCUCUAUCAGCAGGGAAGAAAGAAAUGACGGUACCUGACCAAGAAGCCCCGGCUAACUACGUGCCAGCAGCCGCGGUAAUACGUAGGGGGCAAGCGUUAUCCGGAUUUAAUGGGGGGAAAGGGAGCGUAGAGGGUACUGCAAGUCUGGAGUGAAAUGCAGGGGCUCAACCCCUGAACUGCUUUGGAAACUGUAUGACUGGAGUGCAGGAGAGGUAAGUGGAAUUCCUAGUGUAGCGGUGGAAUGCGUAGAUAUUAGGAGGAACACCAGUGGCGAAGGCGGCUUACUGGACUGUAACUGACGUUGAGGCUCGAAAGCGUGGGGAGCAAACAGGAUUAGAUACCCGGGUAGUC
rnacentral:rRNA from 1 species